rnacentral:lncRNA from 1 species
UCUCUCUCUGUCUCUCUCUCUCUCUCACACACAAACAACAUACAAAAAUAUGAGCAGAUAAUAUCAUACUACGAUCUCUCUCUUUCUCUCUCUCCCCAGAAAAACAGCAUUCAAAUUUUUGAGCAGAAAAAUCAUACCAUAAUCUUGUUUCUUCGAAAAGCUUCACUUGAGAUGCAGAGAAGGCUAAAAAGAGAAAAGAGGAUACGUGUGUAAAAAAUGCGGGUUCGGUCAAGAAAAUAAAGAAAGCUAAGAUCUUGUUAGACUUGUAAUAUGGGACAGCCAUGAUGACCAGAAACAAGGUAUUUAAGAUUAAAAGUUCAAACCUUUGUCCAGAAAUGGUAGUUUUAGCUUAGAUACACACACUGACACACACACACUACUUGAAGAAACCAGUGUCUAUAUAGACUACCGCGUUGCUGUAAUGAGCUUUUGGUAGUUGGCUUGGCGCACGUCAAUUAUUACAAAUUUUACCAUCUUUGUAGUAAUUUUCACAAUAUUUAUACUCCCUCCGUCCCCCUGAGUUGUAUACAUUGGGGGACG